GCCGGGUGUUGGAUGUCCCGGUUCAAGCCCGUAGUCGUGGUCUCUAGGCAAAUCCGGAGAUCUUAGAUGAGAGGUGAUAACGAGGCCGCUUGCGGCCGAAGUGAGUGAUACCCUGCUUCCAGGAAAAGCCACUAAGCUUCAGCUAUUGACGACCGUACCGCAAACCGACACUGGUGCGCGUGAUGAGUAUUCUCAGGCGCUUGAGAGAACUCUGGAGAAGGAACUCGGCAAAUUGACACCGUAACUUCGGAAGAAGGUGUGCCUUUAGUAGGUGAACCCAUUCACUGGGGAAGCCCAAUGAGGCCGCAGAGAAUCGGUGGCUGCGACUGUUUAUUAAAAACACAGCACUCUGCAAAGACGAAAGUCGACGUAUAGGGUGUGACGCCUGCCCGGUGCUGGAAGAUUAAAUGAUGGGGUGCAAGCUCUUGAUUGAAGUCCCAGUAAACGGCGGCCGUAACUAUAACGGUCCUAAGGUAGCGAAAUUCCUUGUCGGGUAAGUUCCGACCUGCACGAAUGGCGUAACGAUGGCCACACUGUCUCCUCCAGAGACUCAGCGAAGUUGAAAUGUUUGUGAUGAUGCAAUCUCCCCGCGGAAAGACGGAAAGACCCCAUGAACCUUUACUGUAGCUUUACAUUGGACUUUGAACAGAUCUGUGUAGGAUAGGUGGGAGGCUUUGAAGUACGGUCGCUAGAUCGUAUGGAGCCGUCCUUGAAAUACCACCCUGGUGUGUUUGAGGUUCUAACCUUGUCCCGUUAUCCGGGAUGGGGACAGUGUAUGGUGGGCAGUUUGACUGGGGCGGUCUCCUCCCAAAGCGUAACGGAGGAGUUCGAAGGUACGCUAGGCACGGUCGGAAAUCGUGCUGAUAGUGCAUUGGCAUAAGCGUGCUUGACUGCGAGACUGACAAGUCGAGCAGGUACGAAAGUAGGACAAAGUGAUCCGGUGGUUCUGUAUGGAAGGGCCAUCGCUCAACGGAUAAAAGGUACUCUGGGGAUAACAGGCUGAUACCGCCCAAGAGUUCAUAUCGACGGCGGUGUUUGGCACCUCGAUGUCGGCUCAUCUCAUCCUGGGGCUGUAGCCGGUCCCAAGGG
rnacentral:rRNA from 1 species